rnacentral:rRNA from 1 species
UACGUAGGGUGCGAGCGUUGUCCGGAAUUAUUGGGCGUAAAGAGCUCGUAGGCGGUUUGUCGCGUCGGCUGUGAAAACUCGGGGCUCAACCCCGAGCCUGCAGUCGAUACGGGCAAACUAGAGUGCUGUAGGGGAGACUGGAAUUCCUGGUGUAGCGGUGAAAUGCGCAGAUAUCAGGAGGAACACCGGUGGCGAAGGCGGGUCUCUGGGCAGUAACUGACGCUGAGGAGCGAAAGCGUGGGGAGCGAACAGG